CAAAUUAAAGCUUUUAUAGCAUUUUAGUUACAUUAAAAAGAUAGGUUGUAGUAUCAAUUUAAUUUGA
rnacentral:tRNA from 1 species